UUAGGGGUCUUAUGUCUCAUUUAGAGAGGAUAAAUCUGGAUUUAGGGACGUUCAGUCUCAUUUAGGGAGGGCAGGUCUGGUCUUAAGGGUGUUAUGUCUCAUUUAGGGAGGAUAAGUCUGGUUUUAGGGGUGCUCGGUCUCAUCUAGGGAGAGGUUUUAGGGGUCUUAUGUCUCAUUUAGGGAGGAUAAAUCUGGAUUUAGGGAUGUUCAGCCUCAUUUAGGGAGGGCAGGUCUGGUUUUAGGGGUGUUUGGUCCCAUUUAGGGAGGAUAAAUCUGGAUUUAGGGGUGUUAGGGCUGGUUUUGUGGAUGAUAGCUCUGGUUUUAGGGAGGAUAAAGCUGGAUUUAGGGAUGAUAGGUCUGUUUUUGGGGAUGACAGCUCUGGCUUUGGGGAUGAUAGGUCUGUUUUUAGGGAGGAUAGGUCUGGUUUUAGGGGUGUUCGGUCUCAGGGAGAGUAGAUCUGGUUUUAGGGCUGUUACAUCUCAUUUAGGGAGGAUAAAUCCGGAUUUAGGGGUGUUAGGGCUGGUUUGGGGGAUGAUAGGUCUGUUUUGGGGGAGGAUGGGUCUGGUUUUAGGGAG